GAUGAAGGAACGUAGCGAAAUGCGAUAAGUAGUGUGAAUUGCAGAAUUCAGUGAAUCAUCGAAUCUUUGAACGCACAUUGCGCCCCUUGGUAUUCCAUGGGGCAUGCCUGUUCGAGCGUCAUUUGUACCCUCAAGCUUUGCUUGGUGUUGGGUGUUUGUCCCGCGUUGCGCGUGGACUCGCCUUAAAGCGAUUGGCAGCCGGCAUAUUGGCCUUGGAGCGCAGCACAUUUUGCGCUUCUAGUCAUGAAUGUUGGCGUCCAUUAAGCCUAUACAUUUGCUCUUGACCUCGGAUCAGGUAGGGAUACCCGCUGAACUUAAGCAUAUCAAUAAGCGGAGGA
rnacentral:misc_RNA from 1 species